CGUCAAAUCAUCAUGCCCCUUAUGACCUGGGCUACACACGUGCUACAAUGGACGGUACAAAGAGUCGCGAGACCGCGAGGUGGAGCUAAUCUCAUAAAACCGUUCUCAGUUCGGAUUGUAGGCUGCAACUCGCCUACAUGAAGCCGGAAUCGCUAGUAAUCGCGGAUCAGCAUGCCGCGGUGAAUACGUUCCCGGGCCUU
rnacentral:rRNA from 1 species